GUUCCUGUAGUUAAAUCUUAAUAACAGUGAUUUUUCAGGUCACAGAUCUUGGAGAAAAACCAAGUAGGAAUU
rnacentral:tRNA from 1 species